rnacentral:rRNA from 1 species
UACGUAGGGGGGCAAGCGUUGUCCGGAUUUAUUGGGCGUAAAGCGCUCGCAGGUGGUUCAUUGCGUCGUGCGUGAAAGACCCCGGCUCAACUGGGGAGGGUCGUGCGAAACGGGUGAACUAGAGGCCAGUAGGGGGAUGCGGAAUUCCGGGUGUAGUGGUGGAAUGCGUAGAGAUCCGGAGGAACACCAGCGGCGAAGGCGGCAUCCUGGACUGGUCCUGACACUCAGGAGCGAAAGCGUCGGGGAGCGAGUCCGG